CACAUCCACUCCCCAUCUCACUAAGUCUCUCCUCUAUUUGGAUGCCAUGAUCCUUCCCUCCUCUUAUGAUGGUCUUUUGUAGGUAGUGUCAGGCACUAUGAGGUCACCCCUUCUAAAUAGUCUCAACAUUAUAAUAAGAUAACAUUAUGUGUUGAAUAUAAAAGCCUAGAAAGAAUGUCUAAAACAUACUCCAAUGAAAGAGAAUUUAUAAGGCUUUUAGCUGACUUAUGAAUAUGAUGAAAAGUCCUGAACUAUGCCACUGUAGAAGUGAGUUUUAUAGUAUUUUCAAUUUCAAAAAGAAAAUCUCCUUGCCUGCUUGUACAUAUACUUCUAGUAUGUCUAACUGAAAUGUUAAUGUAUAAUUUUUAAAAUGUUAAUUGCAAAUAGAGAAUGACAUUCUGACAUUAGGUAAUACUGUGUUACAAUGUUGGUUAUUUUCUGGUAAUUUUUGAUGUUCUGUAUAAGUGUGUUAAAAACUUGAAGAUGUAUACACAGUUGGAAAUUGCCACAUGACUAUAUCCAAAGUGAAUAAAUGACUUAUACAAAUGGAAAAUUGAAGAAUUAUACCCAAAUUGAAACUGGGAAUAGAAAGAUGGCUUCGUCAAUAUACCAUUGAAGUUUUCUAAGGGCAUUUAUAAAUGAAUAACUAAACAACAAGAAACAUGAAAAAGACACUAUAUUUAAUUAUCAACUUCAUAGAACCAUAUUAUGAGGUGUCAUAUAUAACUAACUUUGUAUUGCUAAUGGCCCUCAUGAACUGUUUUUGAAUUAUUUUGUGAAGAGUGUGCAACUUAGACAAUAGUGCAACAGAAUUCUAUGGUAUAACAAGAUUUUUGCAUUAUAUAGUGACAGAAGAGCAAAGACGAAAUUUAAGGUGGUUAUGAUGUCAAAUAUACUUGAAAAUAACCUGAAUCCAUCUGGUGAUAAGGUUUUCUUCCUUCCUAUAAAGGCUUUAUCAACAAACUAUUGAUGAUAUUUUCAAGGACACUUUCAUCAUCUUUAGUACUGAGAAAAAAAGAAUGUGAUCAAGGAAUGAUGUAUCACAGCACUUUUCACUUGCAACAUACACUGGAAUGUUACUUCAGUGUGUGGUUUCAGAUCAUCACUGAAAAGGAAUCUCUACAAUUAUUUCUUAGACACAUUUUACUUUACACAUACCUGAUCUUUGUAAGCUUCAGAUAGGUUUCAGCAUGUGUUAUAAUGGAUGGCCCUUGAAGAUCAUGAAACCUGGACUCAGCUAACUUUUGGAAAAUGAUCAGAAGCUAUCUUUGAAGAAAAAUUUCGUAUCAACACCAACUGAUUUUUCAUUGCUACUGUUGGGCUGCAUCUCAAAAAUUGUAAUGGUGGCAUCAUCACUACCCAGAGGACUUAAGUGUGGUGGAAAUAACACUGGCUUCAUCUCUGUGAUUUCAUUAAAAUAUUCCCUGUCUGUACUUAUACUUUUAGUGUCAUUUAUGCCAAUUUUAACAGAAAAUAUAAUUCUUUAACAUUGAGUCAUCCUAUCCAAUUUCAAGUAACGUGGAACUGGCUGUCAUGGCUCAUGCCUCUAAUUGGAGUAAUCUUAGGAGGCUAAGGUCAGAGAAUUGCUGAGAGUUUGAGACCAUCUUGGGCUACAGAGGGAGACCCUAUCUCAGGAAAAACUAAAACUUGGAUACUUUUUGGAGGCUAACAGACUGCUUUCACAAGUAAAUACUGAAUAGACCUACAGUCUCUUCCUUAUUCUCCCAAGGUGGUAACUCUCUGGACAAGUGCAUCAGAAACAUCUUCUACAGUGGUUCCAUCCACAGCACCAUCCAGAUACUUUUAUUAUUUAUCUGCUUCUGAUAUUACAGCUUUUAUAUCUUGCAGUUUUUGUAGAUUUCCUAGGUAUAGAAGAGACAUGCUUGUUGGUAAUUAAUUUCCUGGAAUAUUUAGUACUUCUUUCUUUUAUCAAUCCAUCUUGUCUUUCCCCUCUACUUUUGUAUAUCACUCAUUGUAUUUUAUUCAUAUUUUUGUAAAUGGAAGAGUUUCAUGUAUGGGAACUAAAAUUAGUAUAACUAUAUUAACCAUUUUAUUAGAAUGUAGAUGAUAGCAAGACUUUCUUACUAGUUGAGUUCCCUGUUUUGUUUCAAUUUGUAAGUUACUUUAUUUCUCACUUGAAUCGGAAACUCAGAUUUUAGACAGGUCCUAAACAAUAUCAUCUUAUACUCUGUGGUAUAUAGGUCAGACCCUCUAGUUACCCUUUUGGUUGACCAUUGUGGGUCUCAUUCUUCGUCAGAGAAAUGAGGUUGGCUAGUUUGCCUUUUCUCUAAUAACCAAACCUCAGACUUGGAUGCCAUCACAGUUGUGAAUGUGUAAAGUGGCCUAUAUCCUCAUGCUGCUAUGGUGAUGCCAUCUUGUAGUAUGUGAGGUCUCAUUAUUUUCUUGGAAUUUUGGGUUGGAGUAAAAACUUAGUGCAUCAAAGAGAUUUCUUUUUCACCCUAUGUAAUGCUGUUCCUCACUUGUUUCUGCUUAACCUAAGUGAGGUUGACAUUCAGUAGUGUUUUAAUUGAAGUUUUAGGUGUCUAUUCUUAAACCACAAUUUGUACUGUUUAUCAAGGAACUAUUAACUUUGUUGCCCAAGCUGUCUUCAUAGAUAUGUUUUUACAAGAGGGUAUCUGCUAAUACUACUUCUCUAUGACAGUGUUAGCAAUAAAAGCAAUUGAUAGGAUAGUAAGAGCUUUGAAAGUCUUCAAGCUGUUCCAACAGUAGAUUUAGUGGUUUAAAAAUGUCAAUAUGUACUGCAAUUGAGGUUUCAUUUCUCAUUAUAACAUUCAUUUAUUUCAGGUAUGUUUUGAGGUAUGGUCUGUGUUUUUUCCAUAAUACCAAUGAAUUUUAUCUGUAUAAAAGUAAAAUUAAUAUAUUUCAAAUAAUUUCUUUUUAUAUUCAGGAUGAUGCUGAGAUAAGAUCAGUAUCCUAAUCAGAUACCUUGAUAACACAUGAAGCUGAAAAAAAAUAUACAGUAUGUCACUUUGUGAUAGAGUUUGGCAAACUGAAACUGCUGUUACAGUGCCACAGCAGACACCACCAAUUUAAAUCCUGUGUUCUACUAUAUUACUUACAAAAAAUGUAUUAGGGCAGAUUGCUAAUCCAUACCAUACCACAUAGGUUUGUUUUAUACUGAGGAAGAUUGCUAAAUAUAGAAACCAGAAGGAAUACAAAUAAUGUCUUUGUUGCUAUGUCAGUUAUAAUAAUAAAAGUUGAAGUUCUAUACGGGAGAAAAUUAUUUUAAGCUUUAGGAUUCUUGGCUCUUAAAAUGUCAUUCAUUUUUCUUCUUGCCCAUUUGUAUACCUAUAUUUUGUAGUAUAAUGAAACAUGGCCACCAACAGUGAAUGAAAUAUUCAAUGAUUAGGCCAGUCUGUGUCUUUCUUUCUUCAUUAUCCAUCCCUAUUGUCCUACGGUAACAAGA